rnacentral:rRNA from 1 species
CCUACGGGAGGCAGCAGUGGGGGAUAUUGCACAAUGGGGGAAACCCUGAUGCAGCGACGCCGCGUGUAGGAAGACGGUCCUCUGGAUUGUAAACUACUGUCCCCAGGGACGAAGAUGACGGUACCUGGGGAGGAAGCUCCGGCUAACUACGUGCCAGCAGCCGCGGUAAUACGUAGGGAGCGAGCGUUGUCCGUAAUUACUGGGUGGAAAGGGAGCGUAGGCGGGGAUGCAAGUUGGGUGUUAAAUCUACCGGCUCAACUGGUAGUCGCACUCAAAACUGCAGCUCUUGAGUGAAGUAGAGGCAGGCGGAAUUCCUAGUGUAGCGGUGAAAUGCGUAGAUAUUAGGAGGAACACCAGUGGCGAAGGCGGCCUGCUGGGCUUUUACUGACGCUGAGGCUCGAAAGUGUGGGGAGCAAACAGGAUUAGAUACCCUAGUAGUC